UUUGUUUACGUUUUUUUCUCAAUGUAAUGCAGGUCUCUUAUAACCCUGUGGUAUUACUACCAUGCGAUGUAACGAACUAGUCGUUUUAUGUGAUUGUGCUUACUACCAUGUGACCCAGCGGGAUUGUAGUGCAACAUGAGUCGUCGAAGCAGUACUUCAUUCUACCAGAGCACUCCAGUGGUGGCGAUCUGCCUUGCAGCUUUACUCCUCAGCAACAUCUUCAUUUACCUGUAUUUGGACUCUUUGUACGAGUCAGAUGUACAACCAGUCAUCGCCCAUAACGGUUGUAUGGCUCAACACUUUAAAAUGCCGACAAUGAAGAACUGCACCCCUUGGCUUCAAUGUCCUCUUCUAGAAGCGGAAGUUCGCAAACUGAAGCUCAUCGGCCAGGGCGCAGUGAAGAAGGUCUACUUGGCAGAAUGGAAAGGACAAAAGGUGGCUGUGUCCAAACUGUCAUUUCUGGAUUACUCUCGUGAUUUUCUCCACGGAUUGUCAAUGUUACAGGCACUGCAGGGUCCCCUGGUGGUACAGUUGGUAGGGUUUUGCCUUGAAGACCAUACGUUGGUCACAGAGUAUCAUCCACUGGGCUCACUUCUCAAUUUGAAUGCAGUUCUGGGACAGGAGCAGCAAAAACAUCGCAACACUUGGCAUACGCGGCUGUUGUUGGCGAUAGACUACGUCUCUAUCCUCAAUUACCUCCACAACAGCCCCGCUGGUCGGAGGGUGAUGUGCGAUUCCAACACGCUGGAGAAAACUCUCUCCCAGUUUCUGCUCACAAAUGACUUUCACAUGGUGGUGAAUGACUUAGAUGCAUUGCCCGAGGUGGACUUAUCCAGGGGCUUGCUUGUGAAAUGCGGCCACCGGGAACUCAGCGGUGACUUUGUGGCGCCGGAGCAGCUGUGGCCAUUCAAUAACAUAGGGAAGCCUUUUUCUGACGAUCUUAUGCAUGAGUAUGAUGAACGGACAGAUAUCUGGAAGAUCCCAGAUGUGGUACGGUUCCUGAUAGGAUCUGUGGCUGGAGGAGAUUUGAUCCACUUCCAUCUUUUUCAAAUUCAUAAGGAGUGUAAGGCAGAAGACCCUAAACUCCGUCCAUCAGCCCUAGACGUGUUGAUGGUUUACAAGGCAGUUUACGGGAACAUGGCCCAAGACAACGCUGGAUUCAGAGAAAUGCUUUGAUGUCUCAUUUUAAAAGGAGGCCUACACGAAUUAACCUAUCAUGCAAUAUAGACUUAACGGUUACACUACUAAGUCCAUUGUACAGGGUCAGGCAAAAUGAUCUGACACAUUUGUAGGUUAAAUAAAAGGAAAAUAGAGCAAAGAAACAAAAAAGUGUUUUUAUUUUUGAAAAGAUCAUUACAGUACUUUAUUUGCCUUUUAUUCAACCCCUUAAACCGAGGGCAACUUUGCCGAAAACGCCUGUGGAAAGGUGCAUCCAAAGUCAAUUUUUAGCUAUUCUUGAACCAUUUGGAGAAUCAGCAUAGUUUUGGUCACUUUUUGAAAUAUUCAAAAUGUGACAUUAUGAAUAUUUCUCCCAUACAGUAAGAAUCUGUGUAAGUGCUCCUGUCACUGAAGUAUGGAUGUUUGAAAACAGAAGAAAAAGGCAAAGCUUAUGUUCAUCUAAUUUUUUUUUCACAAUAUCUGCCUUGAAAAUAAAUUAACUAAACACUACAAGAUCAAAGCUGAAGUCUCCCAAGGUUCGGUUCAAAUUUGACAAUUGUAACAUGUAGGGUACGAUUCAAAUCUCCAGAAACCCAGCUUUUAAAAGAUGUACAACAUGUUCACACAUGACAACGUGCAUCAGCGAUUUGUUUUGACAGAUGAUGGAGGGCCCUUGAUGGGGCCCUCCUAACUUUAAGGGGUUUUAACCCCA